CUCAUUACUCCAAAAAUAUGGUAUCUCGAUCCCCUUAAUGGAGAUCCAAGCAACAGGGAAGAUAUAGUGGUACUUUUUAAUGAAGCUGUGGUGUUGUAUUGCACUGCGAACGACAUGACUGUGUCUCCUAAGAUGAGGGCAUUUGAAUCUUUAGAGAAAUGGGUCAUUGUUAAGCCAGAUCAAAGCAAUGAUUGUGGUUAUUGCUUGAUGAA